rnacentral:rRNA from 1 species
CCUACGGGAGGCAGCAGUGAGGAAUAUUGGUCAAUGGGCGCUAGCCUGAACCAGCCAAGUAGCGUGAAGGAUGACUGCCCUAUGGGUUGUAAACUUCUUUUAGAUGGGAAUAAAGUGCAGCAUGUAUACUGCUUUGCAUGUACCUUAUGAAUAAGGAUCGGCUAACUCCGUGCCAGAAGCCGCGGUAAUAUGGAGGAUCCGAGCGUUAUCCGGAUUUUUUGGGUUUAAAGGGAGCGUAGGCGGGUUGUUAAGUCAGUUGUGAAAGUGUGCGGCUCAACCGUAAAAUUGCAGGUGAUACUGGCGUCCUUGAGUACAGUAGAGGUAGGCGGAAUUCGUGGUGUAGCGGUGAAAUGCUUAGAUAUCACGAAGAACUCCGAUUGCGAAGGCAGGCGGCUGGACUGUAACUGACGCUGAUGCUCGAAAGUGUGGGUAUCAAACAGGAUUAGAUACCCGAGUAGUC